rnacentral:lncRNA from 1 species
CUACAGGCCAUCCAGUGACAACAUCCAGCACCAGAAACAUGUACUGAAAUUUUGUUGAACAAUUCGGGCUUCUUAAAGUUUUCACUACCUUGUAAUACCAGGCAAAGGUAGGCUCAGAAAGUUCUAGAUGUAUUCAUUUGUGGCAUCAUCUAUCAUAUCUUACAAAUGUGCUUUUGGUGUGCUCUUAAUGCAGCUGUUGAAUGUGGUUAAGAGGCCAGUUAUCAGGAUAUAUCAAUCCAGGUGCAACAUGUGCAUCAGCAUGACUGAAACCUUUGCCACAAUUUCCAAGUGUAUGACAUGUGGGGCCUAGCUAAAAGAAAUCGGCACUUUGCCAAUAUUAACGUGUCAAUUUGCCUUUAUUUUCUGUGCAAGAUGUAGCCCUGCUACUGCAACAGCAGUACAAAUUUGGUGCACCUACAGGCCAUUCAGUGUGACAACAUCCAGCACCAGAAAGAUGCACCGAGACUCUGUUGAUCAAGGGACACAAGCAAAGUGACACAUACACAACUAAUCACAUCAAAUUAAGAAUAUGUAUGUCUGAACAUUCACCAGCGAUAUGGAAAAUAUAGCCAAGUAUCUAUCCGUUUUCCCGAGUCACGAUUUCAACAGCGGACGUCUUAGAACCAUAACGCAACGACGGGUCGAGAACAGUUCCCAGAUUUCAUGACAGGACGGUGACGCUGGUACAAAAUGCAAAUCCCCACUAAAACUUAUUCAGCUCUUGGACACUUCCGAAUGACUGACUGACUG